rnacentral:rRNA from 1 species
ACUCAAAUGAAUUGACGGGGACCCGCACAAGCAGCGGAGCGUGUGGUUUAAUUCGAUGCUACACGAAGAACCUCACCCAGGUUUGACAUAUAAGUAGUAGUGAACCGAAAGGGGAACGACCCGCAAGGGAGCUUAUACAGGUGUUGCAUGGCUGUCGUCAGCUCGUGUCGUGAGAUGUUCGUUUAAGUACGCUAACGAGCGCAACCCUUACUGCCAGUUACAAGUGUCUGGCGGGACUGCCGGCCACAAGCCGGAGGAAGGCGAGGAUGACGUCAAGUCAGCAUGGCCUUUAUAUCUGGGGCUACACACACGCUACAAUGGGUCGGUACAAUGGGUCGCCAAGCCGCGAGGCGGAGCCAAUCCCACAAAACGAUCCUCAGUUCAGAUUGCAGGCUGCAACUCGCCUGCAUGAAGUCGGAGUUGCUAGUAAACGCGCGUCAGCUAUAGCGCGUUGAAUACGUUCCCGGGUCUUGUACACACCGCCCGU